UCCUGGAGGGCGAGGACGCCCACAUGUCUUCCCACUACGCCUCGCAGCCUGUGAAAGAAGCACCCGUAACUACCCGCCAAAUCCGCACGAUCUUCGAGGAAGUGCAGGACGGGAAGGUGAUUUCCUCCCGCGAGCAGAUCACCCAGGCUGCCCGCUAAGCCGCCAGCGUGGUUUCCUGCAAACCUCCCGUGGCAAAGCUCAAGAAGAUGCCAGCUUGUGUGCUCCGGCUACGCAGCUCCGGAAAAGCAGCUUCUCUUUUUAUCAUACCGCUGCGUCCCUCACCCUUUCUCUAAGCGCCGUGCUUGGAAAUCAAAUAAAGCUUUUGGCAUUCGUGCAAACCCG